UAUGUUUCAAAUUGGUGUAUUUAUAUCUACCAUUAGCCCGAAGUAAGAUUGAAUAAUUCUGAUGUGAAACAAAAACCUACAGCGUACAGACACUUUACUUCGUUGGAAUUAAAACAGUGAAAGAGCUAUCUGCAUCAUGAGCUUUACUUUGCUGUUGGAUAUUUGCCUUGUUGCCACAAUUGUUUCUCUUUCAACAGAACAAGUGACUGAACAUACGAUCGUAGUAUGCAACAACAGACCGACCACAAUAAGCUGCCGGGAAAGAAUUGUCGUACGUUCGGCUAUCUUCGGACAACCAAAAGGGAACAUAUGCGGUGGAAGGAGGGUUUAUGGUUGUCAGAGGAACGUCACUGAUACAGUAUCGGAGUUAUGUAGCCAUAAAGAAACCUGUCAGUUUACACCUGGGAGCAUUUUGUUUGGCGAUCAUUGUCCAGGGACUGUGAAAUAUACAGAGAUUGUAUAUCUGUGUCAUUUCUGGCUAUUCUAAAUAAAUUUACGUGCUUGGACUAUGAAUCCAAAUAUGUGAAUUAAACAGUAUCAUGCAAGACAGUUUUUUGUAAUUUAUCAUAUAUAUUUCUGUUUUGUAUUAAGCAUUGAAGAUGAGUUUUGGAAUAGUGCCACCAGUUUAAAAUAUAUCCUUUGAAAUAGAUACAUUUACAGAAGGAAAAAAACAAGUGUGUUAUACAUUCAAACCUUCAUUGUCGAGAUGUUUAUUGUUAAAAUUAGUAUAAACGCAAUGGCGUGAUACAUGGUUCUAAUUAAACAUUUAAACAUGCCAGUAAAAUGCAACCCAUAUUAGGUUGUUUUUACGAACUUCACAAAGAUCGUGUAAUUUGCAAUACAACCGACAAACAAUUUGAAUAUUUGGGUUAACGUACCUAAACUGGUUUUCUAAACUUUAUUAAAUAUUACAAACGAAGACAUGUAGCGCGUUCUAGUAAAUAUAAUAAUGUAUAACAUGGAGUAAAGAAAGGAUAUUUUAAGGGUAGUAUAUGAGAAAAUUCACGAGUACGUAUUUAGUCUUGAUUCUACUUAAAUUUAUUUAGAUAAAAAGUUAAAUUAAAAACAUUGUGUUGUACAACAGAUAACGGAUAAUGUAAGAAUACAAUGGGAUGUAACUUUUUUUCCCAAAUCAUUUUUUGUCUCUGGUAAUUUAUAUUUGUGAGUAAAUAAAAUGUGU